GACGAACGCUGGCGGCAUGCCUAAUACAUGCAAGUCGAGCGGGCGAAUCGAGAACUUGCUUUUGAUGCGUUGGCGGCGUACGUGUGGGGAAAGCGUGUGCAACCGGCCGGGUAGCCGGAGAUGGCACCGAGAGAUCAGUGCUAAUACCGUGUAACACGAAAGGUCGCAUGACGUUUCGGUGGGGCACGCCGCAGGCUGGCGCGACAGGAUGGGCCCGCGGUACAUUGGCUAGUUGGUGAGGUAACGGCUCACCAAGGCGACGAUGCGUAGCCGACCUGAGAGGGUGAUCGGCCACACUGCGACUGAGACACGGCCCAGACUCCUACGGGAGGAAGCAGCAGGGAACCUCGCGCAAUGGCCGAAAGUCUGACGGAGCAACGCCGGGUGAGCGAAGAAGGCAUUCGGGUCGUAAAGUUCUGUUGUUAGGGAAGAACAAGUAACGCAGUAACUGGAGUUACCGUGACGGUACCUAACGAGAAAGCAACGGCUAACUCCGUG
rnacentral:rRNA from 1 species